rnacentral:rRNA from 1 species
CUGCUUAACACAAGUUGAGUAGGGAAAGUUUUUCGGUGUAGGAUGAGACUAUAUAGUAUCAGCUAGUUGGUAAGGUAAUGGCUUACCAAGGCUAUGACGCUUAACUGGUCUGAGAGGAUGAUCAGUCACACUGGGACUGAGACACGGUCCAGACUCCUACGGGAGGCAGCAGUAGGGAAUAUUGCGCAAUGGGGGAAACCCUGACGCAGCAACGCCGCGCGGAGGAUGACACUUUUCGGAGCGUAAACUCCUUUUCUUAGGGAAGAAUUCUGACGGUACCUAAGGAA